rnacentral:rRNA from 1 species
UACAGGGGGUGCAAACGUUGCUCGGAAUUACUGGGCGUAAAGGGCGCGUAGGCGGUCUUGUCAGUCCCUUGUGAAAUCCCCCGGCUCAACUGGGGAACUGCAAGGGAAACAGCAGGGCUUGAGUUCGGGAGAGGGAAGCGGAAUUCCGGGUGUAGCGGUGAAAUGCGUAGAUAUCCGGAGGAACACCGGUGGCGAAGGCGGCUUCCUGGACCGAUACUGACGCUGAGGCGCGAAAGCUAGGGGAGCAAACGGG